CAAAGUUAAAAAGAACAGCUGUAUAUUUUCACUUUUCUCUUUGGAACAGAUUCUCUCUUCUCUUUGUCCCUCCAUUGUAUAUAUGAGGCAGCUUCAUCAGUAGAACUAAUAUCAUCUCUCUUCUUUUCCAUAGAAUUUACAUUGUCAGUUUCUGAUGACGAAGACGCUUACAGAAAAUCGUGCUCAAGUUCUCAGAGUUCCAUGGUGGAAAAAUUUGUAUUUGGCAUUGUUUGGAAGCGAAUCCAUUUCGAGCACUCGAACAAUCAGAGCGGCUUUGCGUGGCUUCGUUGUUCAUCCGAGGAACAGGUGGUAUUUGGCAUGGCAGCAUUUCAUAGUGAUAAACGCAGCAUACUCGUCUUUCUUCACGCCGUUAGAAUUCGGAUUCUUUCGGGGGCUACCGCAGAAGCUCUUCGUACUGGAUAUCGGCAACCAGAUCGCUUUCCUGAUCGACAUAGUUGUUAAUUUUUUUGUUGCAUAUCAAGAUACUGAAUCUUACAGGAUGGUUUAUAGUCACAAUCUCAUUGCCCUAAGGUACUUGAAAUCUCGAUUUUUUUUCGACUUCCUGGGAUGCCUGCCGUGGGAUGUCAUCCACAAGGCUAGCGGGAGAAAAGAGGCAGUGAGGUAUUUACUCUGGAUUAGGCUAACCAGGGCAACCAGAGUGACAGAAUUUUUCGAGAAACUUGAGAAAGAAAUCCGAGUUAACUAUCUUUUUGUAAGAAUUGUAAAGCUAUUUGUUGUUGAGCUCUAUUGCACUCAUUCGGCUGCCUGUAUUUUUUACUAUCUUGCCACCACUGUGCCGCCCUCUAAUGAAGGCUACACCUGGAUUGGAAGCUUGAAAAUGGGAGACUUUUCUUACUCAAACUUCAGAGAAAUUGAUCUGUGGAAGCGUUACACUACUUCCCUCUACUUCGCCAUUGUUACCAUGGCAACUCUUGGCUAUGGAGAUGUACACGCAGUGAAUGUAAGAGAAAUGAUAUUCAUAAUGAUUUUCGUCUCCUUCGACAUGCUUCUUGGUGCUUAUUUGCUCGGCAACAUGACGGCUCUGAUUGUAAAAGGAUCCAACACAGAACGAUUCAGAGACAAAAUGACUGAUAUUAUCAAAUACAUGAACAGACACAACCUCGGAAACCAGAUAAGCACUGCAAUCAAAGAUCAUUUCAGACUGCUUUACGAUAGCCACCAGGAUCAGGAGUCUCAAGUUCUUCAGGAUAUUCCUGCUUCAAUUCGUACCAAGAUCUCAUAUAAAUUAUAUGAACCAUUCAUUAAGGAAGCUGCUCUUUUCAGGGACUGCUCUUCUGGAUUCAUUAAGCAGAUUGCAAUUAAAGUCCAUGAAGAAAUCUUCCUCCCAGGGGAAGUGAUCAUAGAGCAAGGAAAGAUAGCAGAUCAAUUAUAUAUCGUUUGCCAUGGUGACUUGGAAGAAGUGCAAGAAGGAGAAGAUGGAGAGAAAGAUGAGGGCGUUGGGAGUCAUCUGCAAACUUACAGCUCAUUUGGAGAAGUUUCCUUUCUUUGCAACAUUCUUCAGCCUUCCACCAUUACAGUUCGUGAACUAUGCAGGGUGUUGCUUAUUGAUAAACUAUCUUUUAUGCAAAUCCUUGGAAUUUACUUUUCCGAUGGCCGCAUCAUCUUGAAAAACCUCCUUGAGGGAAAGAAUGCCAAUCUUCGGAACAAGAUAUUGCAGUCAGAUUUCAGCCUUUAUAUCGAAAAACAUGAAUCGGAGAUGGCUACAAGACUGAAUUGUGCUGUCAAUGAGGAGGAUUUUCAUCACCUGAAACGAUUGAUCGGAGCCGGAGCAGAUCCCAAUAAGACAGAUUACAAUGGACGAUCACCUCUGCAUAUUGCUGCCUCCAAAGGUUAUGAAGAUAUGGUACUUUUCCUUCUUGAAAAAGGUGUGGACAUCAACAUUUCAGAUAAUUCAGGAAACACACCAUUGCUUGAAGCUGUUAAAAAUGGGCAUGAUCGAAUAGCUUCUCUACUUUCUGAUGCUGGGGCCUUGCUUGUAAUUGACGAUGCUGGAGAUUUUCUCUGUAAAAUUGUUGCAAGGAAAGACUUGGAGUUCCUGAAAAGAGUUGUAGCCAAUGGCAUCAACCCGAAUUCAAAGAAUUAUGAUCACAGGACACCACUUCAUAUAGCUGCUGCAGAAGGGCUUCUUUCAUUUGCAAAAUUACUGAUAGAAGCUGGAGCUAGUGUCUUCAUCAAGGACAGUGGCCAACAAGUGGUAUCACAAGGUCUGGAACAAUUCCGUCCAAAUCUAUUGCUCCCCCGAUUGGCCUGCUCGUUUGAAGGGAGGUUGUUGAUGGACCAAUGUGUGAUAGAAGAGGUUUGAUUGGCCUGCCUGGUUGAGGGGGAAGUUGUUGAUGGACAAAAGCAUGAUAGGGGAGGUUUGAUUGCCUGGCCUAGUUGAGAAGAGGUUGAUGGACCGAUGUGUGAUAGGAGAGGUUUGAUUGGCCUGUCUGGUUGAGGGGAGGUUAUUGACACACCAUUGUGUGAUAAGCUAAGAUUGUUGAGGUUGGGAUACAAAUUGUGGGUAGCCCCCCCAACUUAAGGAUGGGAGAGACCAAUGUAUGGGGAAAUACUCCGCUAGAUGAAUCACGUAUAUAUGGAAACAAGAAUCUGACAAAGCUGCUCGAAAUUGCAAGAACUUCCCAAAUGUCUGAGUUCUCUACUUGCCCUCAGGAAAUUCAGGAAAAGUUGCAGCCAAGAAAAUGCAAAGUGUUUUCCUUCCACCCAUUUGAUGUAAAGGAGAAGGAGAGAACGAAGGAGGGUGUUGUUUUAAGGGUUCCUGAAACCAUGGAAGAGCUUAUCAGGGAAG